AGAGUUUGAUCAUGGCUCAGGAUGAACGCUGGCUGUGUGCCUAAUACAUGCAUGUUGAACGAAGCUAAAAGUGCUUGCACUUUAAGACUUAGUAGCGAAUGGGUGAGUAACACGUACUUAACCUAUCCCCAAGUUUGGGAUAACGUUUGGAAACGAACGCUAAUACCGAAUACGUAUUUUUAUCGCGUGAUAGAAAUAUAAAAGGAGCUUCGGCUUCGCUAGGGGAUGGGAGUGCGCUACAUUAGUUAGUUGGUAGGGUAAUGGCCUACCAAGACUAUGAUGUAUAGCGGGGCCGAGAGGCUGAUCCGCCACACUGGGACUGAGAUACGGCCCAGACUCCUACGGGAGGCAGCAGUAGGGAAUUUUCCACAAUGAACGAAAGUUUGAUGGAGCGACACAGCGUGCAGGAUGAAGGUCUUCGGAUCGUAAACUGCUGUUAUAAGGGAAGAAAAACUUUAGUAGGUAAUGACUAGAACUUGACGGUACCUUAUCAGAAAGCGACGGCUAACUAUGUGCCAGCAGCCGCGGUAAU
rnacentral:rRNA from 1 species